AACGUUUCCUCAAUUUCAGAUUUUCAGUGGAUGGCACUCCCAUCAGAGAAUUCGAGAACUCUGAGUCCAUUGGAGUUCCAUACCCGAAUAGGCAAGCAAUGAGGAUAUAUUCUAGCCUGUGGAACGCGGACGACUGCGGAACUAGAGGCGGGCUUGUGAAAACAGACUAGAGUUAGGCUCCAUUACUGCCUCCUACAGGAAUUUCAAUGCAAAUUCCUGUAUUUGGUCGUCAUGGUCGUCGUCUUGCAGUUCCAACUCUCCACCUCCAACAUCCAACCCUGAAUGGCUAAAUGAAGAAUUGGAUACCACAGGCCAAGAAAGACUGAAAUAGGUGCAGAAAAAUUAUAUGAUCUACAAUUACUGCUGGGAUGCAAAACGCUUCCCACCAGAGUGUACUAUCAACAUCGCACGGUGAUAAACCCUGCAGAGGGUACAUAAAAAUUUUCAAUUCUUUUUUGUUAAUACAAAAAGUUUUUUGGCAUCAUAUAGGCACACACAUACCGUUGCCCCUACUUUUCUGUUUAAUAGAAUUCUUCGAUUUUACCUUUUUGGCACCUACUUACUGGCUAUUAACCGGUAUAGGGAUGUUCAUUUUCACUAUCCUGUAUAUCAGCAAACAUGCGAUUCCGUUUAUAUUUCUUAUAAAUUAUACAACACUAAACAUCAUUCAUGUUGCAGGCAAAAA
rnacentral:lncRNA from 1 species